rnacentral:rRNA from 1 species
UGGGGAAUUUUGGACAAUGGGCGCAAGCCUGAUCCAGCCAUGCCGCGUGAGUGAAGAAGGCCUUCGGGUUGUAAAGCUCUUUCAGACGGAAAGAAACGGUCACGGCCAAUACCCGUGACUAAUGACGGUACCGUCAGAAGAAGCACCGGCUAACUACGUGCCAGCAGCCGCGGUAAUACGUAGGGUGCGAGCGUUAAUCGGAAUUACUGGGCGUAAAGCGUGCGCAGGCGGUUUGGUAAGACAGAUGUGAAAUCCCCGGGCUUAACCUGGGAACUGCAUUUGUGACUGCCAGACUAGAGUGUAGCAGAGGGGGGUAGAAUUCCACGUGUAGCAGUGAAAUGCGUAGAUAUGUGGAGGAAUACCGAUGGCGAAGGCAGCCCCCUGGGCUAACACUGACGCUCAUGCACGAAAGCGUGGGGAGCGAACAGGAUUAGAUACCCCCGUAGUCCCUGAGCGGGCUGGCAAGGCGCAU